UGGCAAAAGAAGAAGAAGAAGAAUGAGAGUCGUUGAAACAAUUUGUCGUCGCCGCUUAGAUCAUUAACUCAUAUCUAAAUACACAGAAUCAGGUCCUUUGAUGGAGAAACCCGUGAACGAUUCAAGUCCACUUUUUUUUUAAGUGAAAAACGGCCGAUUAAAAAUGACUUGUGAGUAACCAAGAUGGCCGUGAACCAUGGUGGGCAAAGGAGUCUGCAGGAGAGGAGCUGUGGAAAGCCAAUAAAAUCAUCCCCUCCCGGAGCGCGAUGUGAAGCCCGCACAGCCAGCAACGUAUACAACAGUAAAUCUCUCGAUAGCUGCGACUUAUUUAUCUAAACGAAUCUGUGGCAACGGGCCUCUCUCUGCUAUAGCUAGAUACCCUCGGCGACAAGACCAGAACAGGCAAACAGCAAGCGACCAAAAAACCACCAACCGGGGUCGUAAAAUUUCCGUUUGGCGAGAGGCGUCGAACUUUUAUGGUCGGCCCAAACAUCAACAACAGCGGAGACUAUUUGGUGCUUGCUGCCGAGCUGCGCCAUAGACUCCACGGUAUAGCUUUCGCUGACGUACGAGGACUGCAACAAGGACCUCCAAAGACGUUCGACGCCCACAAUCGACGAGUUGUGGCACUGAGGUGCGACUUUUCCGAGGAAAAUUCCACACAUGCGCCCAGUCGGAUUCGUCACAGUUAUACAGUAGUUAUACUGAACUGGCAUUUUCUGUGGGAACGUGAGUCAGAUAAGAGCGACGGUAGCUUAUCCGACUGUCAGUUAUAUUCGCUGUAUAUCAUCUGCUAUGUAAUAAUGCGGCCCUUAUAAAAGGAACAAAAUACAGCCGCUCUGCGUGCAAUCGGAUCUUUAGAGUUUUUUCAGGCAGUUUCGACACUUUCUCUUCAGAGAAUAAGAGAACCAAAAUGUCUGACGAAACAGUCGUAAAAAAAGCGUUCGAAGAAACCAAAAUAAAACUGUUUCCCUCGUAACUUGAAUCGUUUAGUAAUCCUGGGUCCUUAAAUGUUAUUAGAUUUGUCCUCAGAAUAGAUCGCGCAUCAAGUCAGAUAAAUAAUCAUUUUAGUUCUGAGAAUUUUUUCAGUAGGGAGACGAUUCAGGAAGAUAUUUCAGGGUAAAUUUACAGACAUUUUACAACUUUGUUAGGCCUAUGAAACGUUUCCCUCAUCUUCUAAGCGCUUCUACUUAAACUGCGUUGUGGGGGAUAUGAAGAUCCACAGCAGCGAUUUUUCUCGUGUAAAUAUCUACUGCGUUUUGAUUGAAUUCUUUUUUUUAUAGGACGUUAUCAACGAGAGCUGCUUUAAGUUAUCAUAAAUCGACGGAAAUAAUAUUCGAAUGAUUUUUUAAAAUUACACGAUUAAUUGAAUUUAACGCUUGCACGUAACACUUAACCUUUUGUUUUCUUCUCAAUGUCAACUUCAUUUGUUGUUGAUGUAACCAACAGUCUUAAACAUCAGCUAAAAUAAUUCUUGACUUAUUGUUAACUAGAAAAUUGAAAGGACAUUUGGAAACCACAACAAAGUGAAGUGAACGGGCUGACCCUAGAUGUUUUGUUACCCGAAAGCGGAGGAUGACGAAGCAGCAGUCACCGUCUGUCGGUAGAAGAUGAGGAUGAAGAGCAAUGAAGGCAGCAUCCGCCUACGAUUAGAGCACUGACAGGACUCGGAUGGAUGCGGAAACGGUGCGCAAUAGCCGGUCGACGAAAAGAAGCGGCCCAUUGGCAUCAACUGCAGGAAGAGAAUGUCAGAAUACUAUAGCUGAAGCACGCCAAAAUGUUUGAUCGUCGGAUGAAGAUCAUCUCGGAAAAUACCUUUCCUUCAACGCUGUCAGUGCUGCAGUGCGAUCCUGGAUGGAAGAAUUUCUUGUCCGUCGAUCGGUCUGACCUGGACUCCACUAUCCUGGCCGAGAGAGAGACGCGCAACAUAUAUAUAUGUAUGUGUGUGUGUAAGAGCAUCGAGGGGUCGACUGCACAUGUGGCAGCACGUCAAAGCUAGCUCAUACCCCUCGGUAACCACUGACCCUCUCACGAGCUCCUUCUAGGAAGGUCCCAGACUCUCUCGGUAUAAAAAAGCCAUCCACCGCUCUCUACACCCACUAAACAAGACGGCCCACUCGUAAUCUUUUUAUAUUCUCAAACUGUGAAAAAGAAUGCAGCCGCGCCGAGCGUAUAUACAGGCAGCUGCAUCGGCCUGAAACUUUGCCCCCCAAGAAAAGCGAACGCCGCCAAAACAAGACGCAACUUCGCCAAACAUCAAUACCGAAAACGAUUCAACAAUCAGAUCCAAAAGAUUAUUCGGAACGAAAAAAAAUUUCAAAAACGGAAAGGGCCUUUUUGUCAUCGAUCCAAUUAGCAGAAAGCGCUGGUCUGUUUGACAGGAAACGUUAAAAAGCUCCCGGUUGGCCGCUAGUGUUUAGUUUAUAAACGGUGGGAGGGGAGUCACACGGUUGAGUAAGAAACAAGAAUCAAAGCGAAGGAGCCCACACACGUGAUGAGAUACAGGCGUUGUCUCGUUCCCAGCAGAACAAGCGCAAGAGAGAAGGAAGCCGCCCGCGCCCAUCCACAGAUCGUCGCUCAAGGAUUGUCUCAAUCAGCAUCUUUUUUCUUUCUUGUUCUGUUUUUGUUUGCCAGAAGACUGAUGCUGCAUGAGACGGAUCGCGUUUCAAUUUCCAUAAGCUGUUGCCGGUGCAAAGUAUAUACGGCGCUACUUGUUGUAUACGACACGGCAGUCCUCUCUCUCUUUUUUCUAUCCACCCUCUUCUCUUCUUCACCGAAAAAUUUCGCUUUCUCUUUUUUAGUUUCUUUAUUUUUUUUUACAGUCGACUAACUAAGGAGGACCAACCAGACAUGCUAAAGUUUACAAACCACUGGAUAUACAACCUUUCCCCAAAAUAGAUUUCGUGGAUAUGCAACACACAACACGCUUCCGAUUAGUUGUCAACAAGCUGGGGCAAAAAUUAUGAUAGCAAAUUGAUUAUUCUGUUCAGAUUCACCGUGAUUCUCCUUUUAAAGAAAAUGUUAUCCUGUUCUUGCAAAUGAGGUCGUCAUCACAGAUCAACUAGCGACAAGGUUGUUUGCGGUGUAUUUUUAAGUUAUUGUUUUACUAAUUUUAGUGACAUGUCCUUGAUAGUCUUCUCUAAAUAGGAAUGAUGAUUCACAACUCAGAAAACCUGUUAAUUGGAUGAUUAAUGCACAUGUCGAGUUGGA